GAAGGACUCCGCUUUCGGGUGGAGAGCGUACACAGGUGCUGCAUGGCUGUCGUCAGCUCGUGUCAUGAGAUGUUGGGUUAAGUCCCGCAACGAGCGCAACCCCUGCAUUCAGUUGCCAUCGGGUGAAGCCGGGCACUCUGGAAGGACUGCCAUCGACAAGAUGGAGGAAGGUGGGGACGACGUCAAGUCAUCAUGGCCCUUAUGUCCAGGGCGACACACGUGCUACAAUGGCCGGCACAACGGGAAGCGAGUUCGCGAGGACGAGCGGAUCCCUUAAAGCCGGUCGCAGUUCGGAUUGAAGUCUGCAACUCGACUUCAUGAAGCUGGAAUCGCUAGUAAUCGCAGAUCAGCCAAGCUGCGGUGAAUACGUUCCCGGGCCUU
rnacentral:rRNA from 1 species